GAUGAACGCUGGCGGCGUGCCUAAUACAUGCAAGUCGAGCGAACAGAUAAGGAGCUUGCUCCUUUGACGUUAGCGGCGGACGGGUGAGUAACACGUGGAUAACCUACCUAUAAGACUGGGAUAACUUCGGGAAACCGGAGCUAAUACCGGAUAAGAUUUUGAACCGCAUGGUUCAAUAGUGAAAGACGGCCUUGCUGUCACUUAUAGAUGGAUCCGCGCCGUAUUAGCUAGUUGGUAAGGUAACGGCUUACCAAGGCAACGAUACGUAGCCGACCUGAGAGGGUGAUAGGCCACACUGGAACUGAGACACGGUCCAGACUCCUACGGGAGGAAGCAGUAGGGAAUCUUCCGCAAUGGGCGAAAGCCUGACGGAGCAACGCCGCGUGAGUGAUGAAGGUCUUCGGAUCGUAAAACUCUGUUAUCAGGGAAGAACAAACGUGUAAGUAACUGUGCACGUCUUGACGGUACCUGAUCAGAAAGCCACGGCUAACUACGUG
rnacentral:rRNA from 1 species